rnacentral:lncRNA from 12 species
AUGAUGCCACAGGGCCACCAGCAUAAGGGACACCUCAGCCCCCUGGAGCAGCCACCAGGGAAGUGGCAGAGCAGGCUACGUGGUAAAAAAAAAAAAGAAAAAAAAAAAAGAAAAAAAAGGGUGAGCUGUCUCUGCAGGGCACAGGAACCCUCCCAACACCAACACCCUUCCCAUGGGGGUGCAGGUGAGGAAUUGCAGGCAAGCUGUGGCCAUGGGGCAGGCAGGGCAUGGGGCAGGCAGGCUGGGCUCAGUCCGGCUCUGGGGCUCAGUCCGGCUCUGGGGUGACCGGCUGAGCUCAGUCCGGCUCUGGGGCUCAGUCCGGCUCUGGGGUGACCGGCUGAGCUCAGUCCGAAGGGUGACGUCAUUGCUGUGGCCCUGCCCCGCAUCCCCGGGAGUUCCGGUAGAUGCUGGCUGGGAAUGGUGGCACGGGCUGGGAAUGCUGGGCUAGCACGGGCUGGGAGUGCUGGAACGGGCUGGGAGUGGUGGAAUGGGCUGGGAAUGCUGGCCUGGCACGGGCUGGGAAUGGUGGCACGGGCUGGGAAUGCUGGGCUAGCACGGGCUGGGACCCUGGCAUGGGCCUGGAAGUGUUCCAGGCCUUGGAACACCCUGAGAUGGUAGAAGGUGUCCCUGCCCAUGGCAGGGGGGUUGAGUUUUAAUGUCCUUCCCACCCAGACCGGUGAGCCCUCAGGCUCCCUCAGCUGCUCCUGGGGCUCCAGACCCCAGGCCUUGGAACACCCUGAGAUGGUAGAAGGUGUCCCUGCCCAUGGCAGGAGGGUUGUUUUAAUGUCCUUCCCACCCAGACCGGUGAGCCCUCAGGCUCCCUCAGCUGCUCCUGGGGCCCCAGACCCUUCCCCAGCUCUGUUCC